rnacentral:rRNA from 1 species
UACGAAGGGGGCUAGCGUUGUUCGGAAUUACUGGGCGUAAAGCGCACGUAGGCGGACAUUUAAGUCAGGGGUGAAAUCCCAGAGCUCAACUCUGGAACUGCCUUUGAUACUGGGUGUCUUGAGUAUGGGAGAGGUGAGUGGAAUUGCGAGUGUAGAGGUGAAAUUCGUAGAUAUUCGCAGGAACACCAGUGGCGGAAGGCGGCUCACUGGUCCGAUACUGACGCUGAGGUGCGAAAGCGUGGGGAGCAAACAGG